GAUGAACGCUGGCGGCGUGCCUAAUACAUGCAAGUCGAGCGAACAGACGAGGAGCUUGCUCCUCUGACGUUAGCGGCGGACGGGUGAGUAACACGUGGAUAACCUACCUAUAAGACUGGGAUAACUUCGGGAAACCGGAGCUAAUACCGGAUAAUAUGUUGAAUCGCAUGGUUCAACAGUGAAAGACGGUCUUGCUGUCACUUAUAGAUGGAUCCGCGCCGCAUUAGCUAGUUGGUAAGGUAACGGCUUACCAAGGCAACGAUGCGUAGCCGACCUGAGAGGGUGAUCGGCCACACUGGAACUGAGACACGGUCCAGACUCCUACGGGAGGCAGCAGUAGGGAAUCUUCCGCAAUGGGCGAAAGCCUAACGGAGCAACGCCGCGUGAGUGAAGAAGGUCUUCGGAUCGUAAAACUCUGUUAUUAGGGAAGAACAAAUGUGUAAGUAACUAUGCACGUCUUGACGGUACCUAAUCAGAAAGCCACGGCUAACUACGUG
rnacentral:rRNA from 1 species